CGCCUACGGGAGGCUGCAGUGGGGAAUAUUGCACAAUGGGCGCAAGCCUGAUGCAGCAACGCCGCGUGAGGGAUGACGGCCUUCGGGUUGUAAACCUCUUUUGUCAGGGAAGAAGCGAAAGUGACGGUACCUGGAGAAAAAGCACCGGCUAACUACGUGCCAGCAGCCGCGGUAAUACGUAGGGUGCAAGUGUUGUCCGGAAUUAUUGGGCGUAAAGAGCUCGUAGGCGGCUUGUCGCGUCUGCUGUGAAAACCCGAGGGUCACCCUCGGGCCUGCAGUGGGUACGGGCAGGCUAGAGUGCGGUAGGGGAGAUUGGAAUUCCUGGUGUAGCGGUGGAAUGCGCAGAUAUCAGGAGGAACACCGAUGGCGAAGGCAGAUCUCUGGGCCGCUACUGACGCUGCGGAGCGAAAGCAUGGGGAGCGAACAGGAUUAGAUACCCCUGUAGUCGC
rnacentral:rRNA from 1 species